UGUGUGUGUGUGUGUGUGUGUGUGCGUGUGUAGGCAGCCUGAGUGAAGGGGUGCAGCGAAAGUGUAGGUGCGACUUAAUCACACAGCUUGCCGAUGUCACUUUGUCACUUUGUUAAGGCUGUGUCGGUGCAGCGAGGUGCUAAGUGAGGACUGACAGCAGUUUCAGUACGAGUGUGAACUCAGGUACACUCAGGUGUUCCUGUGCUGUCUGAUACAGUCACCGCAGCAGUCAAUCUGCCGCUGAGCUCUCGUCACCGCACAUCGUCGCUGAUCUUUGAGCGUGUGGAGUCGUUGCCCCGACACUCUGAAUCUGAGCGCUCUUUGCUGUCAGCAUCCUCAGUGCACGGCCCCAUGGCCGCUCAGGUGUGCUGUCAGGGAUGAAGAGCAGCAGAAAGACAGAAAGAAGGACUGACCCUGAGGCACAAUAGAGAGCUCAGUCCAUAUGCAAGUUCCUAAUCUGAGGAGUGUGAAACAGCCUCUGCACUGCCUUUACUGCUCCUGUGCACAGAUGAUGCACUGUAACAAUAUCAGGGAUAUGUGUUAUUGAAAGCAAAUCUCUGGCAUAAAUGUAGAAAUAAAUGAGCAUAAAUGAGCACCUCCUUCCCUCCUCUUAAAGGUGGGGUGAGCAGGAAUCUGUUAAAGAAGCAUCUUUUUGCUUUAGUCAAUCAGUCAAUAGCUAUUAGUUAUUGAUAACAUUUGGUCAUAUAACAAUAUCGCUGUGUUCUCUUAUGCCUGUGAAGUCAACAUUUUAAAAUCUCAGAGCUCUCCGCUCUUUCUGACUGUAAAAAAAAGCCAUUCUCCGCCUCCUCCAACCUGAUUGGUUGUAAGGCAGACGCUGCUCCUUCGUGUUGUGAGGCACGCUCCACAUCAUUGAAUAACGUUCACAAGACCAAACAAAGUUAGCGUGCAACAAUAUCGGACCAUAUAAACCAACCAGAAAAUUUGGAAAAUUAUCUGAAUCCUCCUUUGGCCACGACUGCCGACACAAGCAAGAAAACAAAGUAAAUACCGGAGACUCUGGAGGAAUAACGGGCGCUUUAAACGGAGGUAGACCGGACAAGAGCGAAGAAGCCGGGUCAAUAUCAAUUCAGCAUUUGGGGGACACUUCAAGAUCUUAGUGAGUGUAAACCCAACAGAGUGACUGUGAACUGACUUACGUGCUGAUCCACCCUGUAGGUGAAAACUUUGACCUCAUUAUGGCUCUAAUUAAGGGGUUCAAACUCAUUUAAAUUGGUCUGUACAAGAUUUAAUCAAAACUCUCCGCAGUUAAAGGUCCACCUCUGUUGGCACCAGAGGAAAAGUCAACGUCUCAAGGUCUCCAGUUUUCAUUUCUACUCCUAUUCAGCUUUGGCAUUAACUCCACUGAAAGGUGACACUUAUCUGUGAGGAUGCAUUGUUCACUACUUUAAUGUUAAAAAAUUAUCUUUGAAGUAUUUCUUCAAAACUUCCUUCGCUCGUUAGGUCGUCUAAAGCAACAUUUAUUCUUUCUUAUUGAUUUCUUUGACACUGCGAGGUCCUUCUCCAUGCUCAGCUCCCAGGAUGACACACAGACUCUGUGAUAUUCAUAUAACAUUGAUGACUUUCGUGUGGGCAGCCGAGCUGUGCAGAGGAUGAACGCGGCUCCUGCGGCCCGUAAGACCUCCAGGACGCACGCUUCAAAGGACAGCGCUGGUCAUGCGUCCAUCUUGAUAUUUCUGGACUCAAUGAAACAGGUCAACUGGUCUGUGUUAUUGAUUUAAAAACACGGAGGAGUAGAUCCAAUCAGAGAAAUGAACAGGAGUGAUGGUUUUCGAUGAGACUCUGCUCUUUGAUAGAAUAUAAAAAGCCCAUUUAACAACGUCUGCCUGCUCUUUUUUUUAAUGACUCAGAUACACACUAAAAAUAACUGUUCACUGCUUCAUUUAGGUGGAUCACACAAUCCAUGAGGUGACAGCAGUUUUUACACAAAGGGCCCAGUCCCUCUCAAAAUCAAUAAAGCUGCAGCCUAUUAUCAGCUCAGGCAGAGACAGCGGUUAUUUUUCACUCUGAAGUCUUUUCUCUGCAGAAAUACAGUCAAACAGGCCGAGACGAAACCGGGAACUGCUGCAGCGAGAGGAGAAGAUAAUUCAGUUUUCUGCGACUCGUUCAGAAAAACGCAUGUUCAUGUAGACAAUGCAUUGAAGCAUAAUUUAAUUUUAUUUAAUGCUCAGAAUAUUUUGAGAAAAAACACGUUCUUCACGAUAAACUGCUUUAUAUGUAAUAUUAAUGAACUUCCCUAAUUGUGAGCAAACACAGUCAGCUAGGUAGUAAUAUUCAUUUCAUCUAUGUCUACAAAUCAUUAUCAGAUGUUUUUAAGUGUUUAUUGUUUUCAUGGUUAAAUAUCAACAAAAUCAUUUUUCUUGUCCAGUUUUGACAUUUAGGACAUCUGCAGCUGAAUUCUUCCUUUCAAUAAAACAUCAACUCCCAUUUCAGAUAUCAAAACUACGAAGGAGGAUUAGGGCCACUCGAAGGAAAAAAAAGGUCCAAUAUAUAUAUUUUUAUCAUUAUUCUGAGAUUAAAAUCCAAGACAGAGUAUUAGGGCCACAUUUAGAAAAAGACUUCAAGAUUAAAGUCAUUUAUUUAUGAGAACAAAGUCAUUGAUAACGAGACAAAAGUUGUAAUAAAGUAAUCAUUUAUAAGGGUAAAGUCAGAUCAAGUCCUUAUAUUCUAACCUGCUGUUUAAGAUGACAGUAGUUGAAAUGAGAACCAUGGAGCAUUUCAUGAAAAUGUACUUCAAUAUAGGGUUAUAAAAAAAAAUGAGAUACCUUAUCUUUUGGCACAUCAGCACCACAUUAUCAUAAGAAACACAAUGAUUUUAUUACAACUUUAUUCUCAUAAGUAAUAACUUUACUACGACUUUAUUUCCGUUAGUAACGACUUUAAUCCCAAAGUCUUAAUUUUUGUUUUCUUAAUUUGGCCCUGAUACUCUGUCGUAAAGAUCUGAAUUCUGAGAAAAAAAGAUAGAGAUUAAAGUCAGAAUUCUGUCUUUAAUCUCAGAAUAAAUUUAAUAAAAUCUAAUUUAUUGGACCUUUUUUCCCUUGCGGUUUUUGGCUCUUGUACACUGGCUUCACUUUCUGCUUGAUUCUUCCACAUAUUUUUAUCUUAACUCAAAGUCUGAUCCUCUCUUGCUAACCUUAUAUUCUCACUUACAAACAGCUUGCAUGUGUACGGUGGGUUUUAGCUGAACAGGUGUUUCUUUUACUCAUAUAAAUGGUGCAAAAAGGAAAAAAAAACACUCUUUACUGAUGAAUCAUGUCGUCCAUCUGGCCUGAUGACUUGCAGUUUUUUUUCUCACUCACUCUGUUAUCUUUAACACGUGGUUUAAAGUGCAGGGGAGGAUCUGUCCACAUCAGUUACCUGUGAUAUCAUCAGAGGUGAGUGCUACCUGGCACCUCUGAUUUGACUCAUACUUAUUUAGCGUAGCAGGAUAUAAGAAGAGCCGAACAAGCCGUGCUCUGUGUGAUCAGCUGUCAGGAUUCAUUUCAGUUCGCAUGGAGAAGGUGAGACCUGUUAAACAGACUCAGAGCUUCAUUUGAUCUCCCUGCUUGUAUUACUCUGCAAAAUGCUGCUGGAAUAACUCGGCUGACUUCUGCAUAAUGCAUAUUUGAUGGAGAUUGAGGGCUCUAAAAUGAGCGGUGUGGGAGGAAUAAAAGAGAUAUCAUCUUUGCCACUGUCCGUCAGUCCCAUGAGGUCACUGAUUUAUUUAUUCCUCCUCCGACAAAACAUCUGUUACUGUGAUUAGAUUCUGAUGAGACUAACCCUGGAAUAAUGUCGAUAAUAUUCAUGCACAAGAACACGAUUUGUUCAUAAAAUGGUUGGACACAUAACAACACUGACUCUUUAUACCAAACAUGUAUACUAACUUAAAGGUGGGGUAGGCAGGAAUCCGUUAAAGAAGCAUCUUUUUUGUGGUGUGUUUACAAAAAAGCUUUUAAUAUCAGUCAAUAGCUCUAAAUUAUUGAUGACACUUGGUCAUAUAACGAUAUUGCUGUGUUUUGUUAUGUCUGUGUAGUCAACAUUUUAACAUUUUUGAGCGACCCUGUAAACAAAGACGCUGCUCCCCCGUGUCGUUCAGGAGCCCAAACAAAGUUAGCGUGCUACAACGGCUAACAACUGCUAACGACAGCUAACUUGUUUACUGGAACGCCGUCAACUCGGGUGUACUGCAUUCCCAGCUCCGACAUCUGACCUCCAAGAUUACUGGAACGCAGCAUUAUUCCCAUGCUUUGACUCACUGAGCGCCAGUCUGUUCUGUUGCCAUGACAACAAGUCUUUAGGUUUACACUUCUUAAACACACUGUUUCAUUAAACUUUGUUAUAAUCUCUCCAGGUGAAAAAUUUACUGUUAACACUUUGUUAAACACUCUUAAAUAAGAGAACUUUUCAUGGUUGUUUAAACUACGAAAACAUUUAAAAAGCUGCUCAGACUGAAAAAAUCCAAAUUUUUGUUCAAUGGAUGCUGAUUUACUCUUGACGCUAAAAUUACAGUUUCAGCUCAGCGGCCUUGACAGCCUCGACAGGGCUCGGAGAUAAAACUAGAACGUUUUACUAAUUGAGAAAAA